UUUCAGAUCUUUCUUCUGAUGUCCUGCUGUUCUUGCACACCAGAGGCCAUGCCUUUUGGCACCUUCAACUUAUUGCCUGACUGUUCAGACUCCUUACCAUGUAACUAAAUAAAUUUCCUGAAACAGGCUGAAAUUGAGGGUGACUCCUGCAUCUUCCAGGUUGCUCUGCUUCUGAACUUCCCUUGGGCCUGAGAGGGCUGCUCCUCCUGCAUGUGCUGAGUGUCACUGACUUGGGCUCUCUCUGGCACAGGGAGGAAAUGCUGCCUGAAAAGGACUGUGGGCAAGACCAUGUUCUUCUGGCCUCAUUUAUCCAGCUCAGAAUCCAUCUCCAGGACUGUGUCUUCUCUGCUGUGUGAGGCCCAAGUGGCUCUGGCUGAGAUUUGUCUCCCUGUGACCUGCAGCUGCUAUGAGAUCCAUAGGAAAGAAGUCAGGACUCUCCAGAAGGCAAGAAAUGGUGAGUGUGGGUUGAGGACUGCUCAGGGAGGUGGGCUGUUUAGAACUGGUGGGAACCAUCUGUGUGGCUGGACUCUGGCCUCCCACUGUUAG
rnacentral:lncRNA from 1 species